UACGUAGGUGGCAAGCGUUGUCCGGAUUUACUGGGCGUAAAGAGCGCGCAGGCGGUCGAUCAAGUCGCGUGUGAAAGCCCCCGGCUCAACUGGGGAGGGUCACGCGAUACUGAUCGACUGGAAGGCAGGAGAGGGUAGUGGAAUUCCCGGUGUAGUGGUGAAAUGCGCAGAUAUCGGGAGGAACACCGGCGGCGAAGGCGGACUCACUGGACCGGAACUGACGCUGAGGCGCGAAAGCGUGGGGAGCGAACAGG
rnacentral:rRNA from 1 species